GAUUAAGUUAUUAAGGGCGCACGGUGGAUGCCUUGGCACUAGAAGCCGAUGAAGGACGUUACUAACGACGAUAUGCUUUGGGGAGCUGUAAGUAAGCUUUGAUCCAGAGAUUUCCGAAUGGGGAAACCCAGCAUGAGUUAUGUCAUGUUAUCGAUAUGUGAAUACAUAGCAUAUCAGAAGGCACACCCGGAGAACUGAAACAUCUUAGUACCCGGAGGAAGAGAAAGAAAAUUCGAUUCCCUUAGUAGCGGCGAGCGAAACGGGAAGAGCCCAAACCAACAAGCUUGCUUGUUGGGGUUGUAGGACACUCUAUACGGAGUUACAAAGGACGACAUUAGACGAAUCAUCUGGAAAGAUGAAUCAAAGAAGGUAAUAAUCCUGUAGUCGAAAAUGUUGUCUCUCUUGAGUGG
rnacentral:rRNA from 1 species